rnacentral:lncRNA from 1 species
GGCCUCGAGCCGUUCGGGUACUUCCGAUCCCUCGGCGUAAAAAAGUACCAUUCCCUCUGCCCGAACAACGCCAUCUCUGCACAAUUCAGAACACCAGAAGGUGAUUCGAGAUGCAUGGGAGGUGUUUGAUGCAUUAAAAUCCAGAUCGACGUUUGCAUCCUAACUGUUCGAUCUGAUGUGAUGAUAACCUACCUGGAAGGUCCCAGGGGUCGUACUUGUAGAGAUCGACCUCGCGGAUGAUCGGCACGGGGAGGCGCUGGCCGGCGGCCCUGCGGCAGAGGUAGUGGACGACGAGCUCCUCGUCGGUGGGAUGGAACCGGAACCCCGGCGGCAGGUUCAGCUCGGC